rnacentral:rRNA from 1 species
CCUACGGGCGGCAGCAGUGGGGAAUAUUGGGCAAUGGGCGCAAGCCUGACCCAGCAACGCCGCGUGAAGGAAGAAGGCUUUCGGGUUGUAAACUUCUUUUCUCAGGGACGAAGCAAGUGACGGUACCUGAUGACUAUGCUACGGCUAACUACGUGCCAGCAGCCGCGGUAAUACGUAGGUGGCAAGCGUUAUCCGGAUUUACUGGGUGUAAUGGGCGUGUAGGCGGGACUGCAAGUCAGAUGUGAAAACCCCGGGCUCAACCUGUGGCCUGCAUUUGAAACUGUAGGUCUUGAGUGCUGGAGAGGCAGACGGAAUUCCUAGUGUAGCAGUGAAAUGCGUAGAUAUGAGGAGGAACACCAGUGGCGAAGGCGGUCUGCUGGAAAGCAACUGACGCUGAGGCGCGAAAGCGUGGGGAGCAAACAGGAUUAGAUACCCCGGUAGUC